rnacentral:rRNA from 1 species
GAUGAACGCUGGCGGCGUGCCUAAUACAUGCAAGUCGAGCGAACGGACGAGAAGCUUGCUUCUCUGAUGUUAGCGGCGGACGGGUGAGUAACACGUGGAUAACCUACCUAUAAGACUGGGAUAACUUCGGGAAACCGGAGCUAAUACCGGAUAAUAUUUUGAACCGCAUGGUUCAAAAGUGAAAGACGGUCUUGCUGUCACUUAUAGAUGGAUCCGCGCUGCAUUAGCUAGUUGGUAAGGUAACGGCUUACCAAGGCAACGAUGCAUAGCCGACCUGAGAGGGUGAUCGGCCACACUGGAACUGAGACACGGUCCAGACUCCUACGGGAGGCAGCAGUAGGGAAUCUUCCGCAAUGGGCGAAAGCCUGACGGAGCAACGCCGCGUGAGUGAUGAAGGUCUUCGGAUCGUAAAACUCUGUUAUUAGGGAAGAACAUAUGUGUAGGUAACUGUGCACAUCUUGACAGUACCUAAUCAGAAAGCCACGGCUAACUACGUG